rnacentral:lncRNA from 1 species
GAAUAUGAAUCAUGAAUCAAACUUGAAACUCAAAACUUCAACUUAUAAACCCAGAAUAUUCAUGUUAGGUUACAUCAUAGCCCUAGUUAUGAAUUUAGCUACUCAUAAUGGAAAUGAAACUUAAGCAAAAAUGAGAAAACAUAUUGAAUGCAAUAAGAGUAGAGAAACCCAAUUCUGAAGUUGCUUGUGGUUUCCAAGGCUUUUCCAGGUGCUUCUCCACGUCUAAUGCUACUCCAAGAACUUUCUCAUGUCUAGAGUAUGGCAACUAAAGAGGUGAUUUGGGAUGAGUUUGGGUGGUUGGUGAUGGCAGAGAAAGAACAAAUUCGUAGGAAAUGGAAGGAAGGCUUGUUGGAGUUCUUCCCCAUGAUUUUGGGCUGAAUCAAGUGAUAUAAGAUGGCUGGAGUGAAUUCUUGGUCAAUAGAGUGACUCCUUUGCACUUGAGUAGCUGACACACCUCCCUAAAUUGCUCAACAUGUCAGGUCUAAAGUCAAGGAAAGCUGUGGUGAGUCACAUGGCUCAAAGAAAGUAUCCAAGGCUCAAAGAAAGUAUCCAAGGCUCAACAACUGGAAACUGCAAUCCUGAGCCUGGUGUGUAUAUGGGCUCACGAAUUGGGCUCAACUUCAUUAUCUGAUGCAUUUGAGUAGUCCAUCUUGAAGUUCAGACUCUCAUCUUUCCAACUACAUAUUAGUUGGGCCAAUCCAAGUUCGGAGAAAGAUGUUAAGCCCAAAAUGAGUUGCUAACCCAGUCUGCUCGUUUUUGCACCAUUUUGCAUCUUUUCUUAUCCAAAGACACCAUUGCUACCUAAGGCCCAAUGAACUGAAUGAUAAACAGAAAAGGGAUUAAAAGCACACGUUUGACUCAAUAACAUAACCAAAUCAUAAGCUAGAAGGGUACAAAAUGAUAUACAAUUGUGAACUGAUCAAAUACCCCCAGACCUAGAUUUUGCUAGUCCUCGAGCAAAACAAAAGAGAAUAAAGUUGAAAACAAAACAAGAAGUUAACUAAACCACUUCUGUAGGUAACUCGAUUGCAAUGUGCAUAUGCAACAAGCCUUUAAACCUCUCGGCAUCCCUAAUCGGAAGAGUUGUGUCUCCUGAGGGUUUAACAGAAACGAUACCCACAAACACUUUACUGACUCUCUAACACCAAAAGGUUAGAAAACUAACUUUGAAAACAACUAAUGAAAGAAAACAUUAAUCAUGCAUCCAACACCAUAGAGUUACCAAGAUAGAUGAUCAAUAAGUGUGUAAAGUGGAAGCUAUAGCUCAAAGGCACACGGCUUCAAAGUAAACAUACUCAAAUCUUGAAGGAAGAACAUGCUUCAACUCUAAUUCUCACAUCUAGCACUCCAUCACUCAGAACCUAUGGUUUUAUUCUCUCAAACAAGCAUAAGUGAGUAUAUGAAAUAGAAGCACAAUAUUUGGUUAGAUCUCAUGAAGGGAAUCAAAUACUAAGAGUAGAGAUACACACAUACAUACCAGCACCCAUGAAUACAUCCUCAAAGAUCAGCUAGGUCUUUCACAAGGUUGUAAUGAAAGGCUAAGGUUAAGGGAAGUGGAAGAAUUGGAAGGAACAUAACUAACUUAAGAACAUACCAAGGUUGCAUUCUUCAUUGAUCUGCAAGGUAUCAUUGAUUUAGAAUGGUAUGGCUGCAACUUCAUAGCAUCAUCUGGCAUAGACUUUAUAUUUCACAUUUAGAUCAAAUCGAAACACUUUCUCUUUAUCUUUUUUUUUUUUUUUUUUUUUUUGACUUGAUCUACUUCUUCUUUAACUUUAUUGCAUAGAUUCACACCAAUUUACAUUUGGGCAUGUGGCAGCAAUUUACAUUUGGGCAUGUGGCAACAACCUCCUUGCUUCAAACUUUAUCUUGGCACACCUUGGUAUAUUUCUAAGCUAUAGGGUAUGGCUAUAAUAGGUUAAAUAUCUCUGAUUGAGAUACAAAGUUAGGGGAAUUAUGAGGGUGAUAGAAGAAAAAGGCUUGUAGUGUUUGGCUGCAAGAGAGCUGAUGGAACACACGAAUGGGUAGGGUGAAAAGAAAGCACAGAAAAUGGUUAUACACGCAGAGCCUAGCAUCACUUCAAUGAGUUCAUUCAUGGGUGAGAGCACGCACCUAAUAUCUGCAAAGAGAAUCAUCCUUAGUAUUCAACCAAAAUGGAACAAUGAGAUCAUUUAGAGUGAAUUGAAGAAAAUAAGUAGAGAUGAGGAAUAGAAACACUUUAAACCCUCUCAAGAAAGCAAUUAGGCUCGAAAUAGCUCACUAGGGUAGUCUCCACUAUUCUCCUUCAAGAAUCUGAGCAUGAUACUUUAGCCACCAGAAUUCUAAGAGCAAAAGCUUUGUGAAGUGUAAAAUUUCUGAUAUGAAAAUCUCAAUGGCAGCUCCAUAGCAUUGGUUGUAUGAAAUUUUUUUUAAAAUAAAAAAAAUAGUGACAAGCGAACGAAAAUUGUAAACACAAAUGAACAAAAAUUGAAAACCUCCCCCCAAGACCUGAAUUGAACAUUGUCCUCAAUGUUAAAGCAUAACAAAGAUGAGUGAGAACAUGUGAAUAAUAAGGGGAAAGUUUAAGACAAAGUAUUAGAGAAACUCCCUCUUGAUGCGAUUAGGUUGACCGCUACCAAGCACCUUAUUCUUCAACACAUGGGUUGCCUCCCAAGAAGCGCCUUAGUUAAUGUCUUGGCAAGACAUUAUGCCAUUAGCUAACUUGAUUGUACGAAGGGAAGAUGAUCCACCACAUGACCAGUUUGAAUUCCAACUGACACUCCCUCAUAGAAUGGCUUUAAACGUUGUCCAUUUACUUUGAAAGUCGAGCCAUCUUUAGGAUUUUGAAUCUCCACAGCUCCAUAGGGAGAUACAUUGACCACGGUGAAUGGGCCAAGCCACCUAGACUUCAAUUUUCCUGGAAAGAGACGCAAACGUGAGUUAAACAAAAGAACUGACAUACCUUUGGUGAAUUCUUUCCGUUGAAUGUUCCUGUCAUGGUAACUCUUGGUACGUUCUUUGUAUAGCUUUGCAUUCUCAUAGGACUCAUGUCGAAUUUCUUCCAAUUCAUUGAGCUGAAACUUUCUAACAUGGCCGGCCUUGUCCAGAUCAAAAUUCAACUUCUUGAUGGCCCAAAAAGCAUUGUGUUCAAGCUCCAUUGGCAAGUGACAGGCUUUCCCAAACACAAGACGAUAAGGGCUCAUUCCGAUGGGAGUCUUAUAUGCAGUCCUAUAAGCCCAGAAUGCAUCAUUGAGCUUGGCAGCCCAAUCUUUCCUUGUACUAUUCACCACCUUCUCUAGGAUCUGCUUAAUUUCUCUGUUGCUUAUUUCUACUUGACCAGAAGUUUGAGGAUGAUAUGGUGUAGAGACUCGGUGGGUGAUAUUGUACUUCUUCAUGAGUGCUUCAAAUAGCUUGUUGCAGAAGUGGCUGCCUCCAUCACUAAUGACAGCCCUUGGAGUACCAAACCUUGUGAAAAUAUUGUCCCUCAAGAACUUCAGGACCACCUUAUGAUCAUUGGUAUCAACAGCAACAAGUAUGUAGGUAUAACCAAAGGAAGAUGGGAAUGGUCCCAUGAAAUCAAUACCCCAUACAUCGAAGAGUUCCACAAAGAGUAUGUUCUUCAAUGGCAGUUCGUUCCUGCGGCUUAUGUUUCCCAUCCUUUGACACCUAUCACACUUAACACAAAAAUUAAAUGCAUCUUUGAAUAGAGUAGGCCAAAAGAAACCUGAUUGCAAAAUUUUAAGUGCUGUUUUCUUGGCUCCAAAGUGGCCUCCACAAGCCAAUUUGUGGCUAUGCCUAAGGAUGCUUUCUUGUUCUUCUUCUGGAACACAUCUUCUAAUGAGUUGAUCUGGGCAAUGCUUGAAUAAGAAAGGUUCAUCCCAGACAUAAUGUUUCACCAUGGAAAAGAAACCCAAUUCUGAAGUUGCUUGUGGUUUCCAAGGCUUCUCCACGUGCUUCUUCACGUCUAAUGCUACUCCAAGAACUUUCUCAUGUCUAGAGUAUGGCAACUAAAGAGGUGAUUUGGGAUGAGUUUGGGUGGUUGGUGAUGGCAGAGAAAGAACAAAUUCGUAGGAAAUGGAAGGAAGGCUUGUUGGAGUUCUUCCCCAUGAUUUUGGGCUGAAUCAAGUGAUAUAGGAUGGCUGGAGUGAAUUCUUAGUCAAUGGAGUGACUCCUUUGCACUUGAGUAGCUGACACACCUCCCUAAAUUGCUCAACAUGUCAGGUCUAAAGUCAAGGAAAGCUGUGGUGAGUCACAUGGCUCAAAGAAAGUAUCCAAGGCUCAACAACUGGAAACUGCAAUCCUGAGCCUGGUGUGUAUAUGGGCUCACGAAUUGGGCUCAACUUCAUUAUCUGAUGCAUUUGAGUAGUCCAUCUUGAAGUUCAGACUCUCAUCUUUCCAACUACAUAUUAUUUGGGCCAAUCCAAGUUCGGAGAAAGAUGUUAAGGCCGAAAUGAUUUGCUAACCCAGUCUGCUCGUUUUUGCACCAUUUUGCAUCUUUUCUUAUCCAAAGACACCAUUGCUACCUAAGGCCCAAUGAACUGAAUGAUAAACAGAAAAGGGAUUAAAAGCACACGUUUGACUCAAUAACAUAACCAAAUCAUAAGCUAGAAGGGUACAAAAUGAUAUACAAUUGUGAACUGAUCAAAU